GAGGAAAGGAUUCUGCUGUCUGAGAAAACCUGCAUUUUCUGGGGCAACGUAUAGUUGCUCCUGAAGCUGGAAUGAGAGCAGAGUCGCAGACAUGUAGUGCUGUUUUUUUGGUGAAGGAUAAAACUCUAUCAAAAUGUUAUUUAAUGGUCCCCUUUCGGUUUUUUAAGGUAUAUUUUGCCUUUUGGUUAUUGGGGCUUCAUUUAGUUAAUUUAGUUAUGUACA
rnacentral:sRNA from 1 species